rnacentral:rRNA from 1 species
UCCCAGACUCCUACGGGAGGCAGCAGUGGGGAAUAUUGGGCAAUGGAGGCAACUCUGACCCAGCAACGCCGCGUGAAUGAUGAAGGUCUUCGGAUUGUAAAGUUCUGUGAUGGGGGAUGAACACAAUGACGGUACCCCAAUAGCAAGCCACGGCUAACUACGUGCCAGCAGCCGCGGUAAUACGUAGGUGGCAAGCGUUAUCCGGAAUGACUGGGCGUAAAGGGUGCGUAGGUGGUUUAGUAAGUUGGCGGUGUAAUUCCGGGGCUCAACCUCGGCGCUACCGCCAAAACUAUUAGACUAGAGUGCAGGAGGGGUAAGUGGAAUUCCUAGUGUAGCGGUGGAAUGCGUAGAUAUUAGGAGGAACAUCAGGGGCGAAGGCGACUUACUGGACUGUAACUGACACUGAGGCACGAAAGCGUGGGGAGCAAACAGGAUUAGAUACCCGAGUAGUC